ensembl:lncRNA
CAUAAUUAAGCUUUACAAGAAGUGGAAACUUAACUUAUAUUUGGCUUGUGCUUUAGCUUUUAUUUCAAUAGUUCUUUAACUUUGUUUUCCCAUAGUAAUUCCCAACAGAUAUCUACACUCUGAAAUGGAGCCUACUGAAUCUGUGCCAAAACGAAGAAGACAGAUGUAUUGAUAUCACUACUUAAGUCAGCCAAAAGAUUUUGGUUGACUGCAGGGUACAGGUGUGAGAAUGAAGACACUGCAUAUCUGCCAGUCUGCCUCCUCUCCAUGAUUAAUGGCCUUGCACUUUCUGCUGCCUCUUGCAACUCAUACCUCAUAACUCCCGAGGGAAGGAGACAACAGUCAAUAACUACUCCGUAUCUCCAGAAUUUAUCUGACGGAAUGAUUGGAAGAAAUCUAUGGACCUUAAAGACGAAGAGAAUUUCCGUUCCUGGAUGUUAUCUACAGAUAGAAGUUAAAUCCCUGUGAGAUCACCGGACAAAGCUCCCACUGACUUCAAAGAUUGGUAAAUGCCAAAAGUUCAUAUGCUGUUUCCAGACAUUCACCGUAACAGACCCUACAUGUAUAUUCACAUGUAAAGAAUGCUAACACUGAAACCUCUGGGAAGAGAAAUACACCCCUGGUGCUGUGAUCCCGCCCUUCUUGUUACUCCUAGCAGUAGGUACCUUACUACCUCCCAGGAGACAUAAGCUCCUAAACACUUCUAGAGAGACAAGUGGAGCUUUGGAAACCGAUUCCAACAGACUACAAGCAUGGAUCUCAGGGUUUUGAUCAGGCCUGUUUGUAAAGUGUUGUUUCAAGCGUUGCUGUCCUUCAGCUGAAGAACAUUACAGCAAAGAGGGUGGAGUUAUACUCACUCAGGGGGUAGAGCUCCUUCAGUCUCCUUAAUUCAUUGUCCUUUCCUAUAAAUUUUGCUGGUAGUAUCAAUGGUAACAUUCACAACUAGAAGAGACCAUCAGCUAUUUGUUCCUUUUAUUCUAUUCAAAGUAAACUGAAAAUCUGGCAGCUGUAUAUAGUCACUUCCUUACCUUUUUGCCCCUUACUCAGAACUGGCUCAGCGGUUGCAAGAGUAAGAAACAUAGCACUGCCCAGAAAGGUACAAGUAAGAGAGUUUUAAAAAAGCCUCAGGCCAAAGUCAUUACAUUUCACUGAAUGUACUGGGAUUGUGGAGUGUAACAGAGCAGCAACUAGGUCGCUAGGAGGUGGAACAACUACUUCUCUUAGAGAAAGGCAACUCUUUACCAUGCAGUUGUUGCUUAGUGCCUAUGCCUUAGUGAAACACUCAGGUCUCUCAAAAAAUCCUCAAGGGUAAAAUGUAUGCUGCUAUGGAGUAUGAUGCUUACAAUGAUGAUUUAUUAGUAGUGCAUCUGUUUUUUUCUUUAUAAGACUCAGAACCCAAGAGGACAGUUUCAGAUUAUUCCAAAUCCCACUAUUUCAAUGCUAAUUACUAAAAAUGCAGGAGCAACGCACUUCCUCUGCUUGGACCAUCUGGCAAAUUUCUCAGCUUUGCAGUUUGCUGGUCUUCAGAGUUACCCCACAAGUUAUAGGAAAAAAAAUAUUUCUGAACUCUCUAAGAGUAACAUUAUUAGUUAACAUGUUUGAAAGAACAGAAUAGAAAUGCAGAG